rnacentral:rRNA from 1 species
GGUUAAGCGACUAAGCGUACACGGUGGAUGCCCUGGCAGUCAGAGGCGAUGAAGGACGUGCUAAUCUGCGAAAAGCGUCGGUAAGGUGAUAUGAACCGUUACAGCCGGCGAUGUCCGAAUGGGGAAACCCAGUGCAAUUCGUUGCACUAUCGUUAACUGAAUACAUAGGUUAACGAGGCGAACCGGGGGAACUGAAACAUCUAAGUACCCCGAGGAAAAGAAAUCAACCGAGAUUCCCCCAGUAGCGGCGAGCGAACGGGGAGCAGCCCAGAGUCUGAAUCAGCUUGUGUGUUAGUGGAACGGUCUGGAAAGUCCGACGGUACAGGGUGAUAGUCCCGUACACCAAAAUGCACAGGUUGUGAACUCGAAGAGUAGGGCGGGACACGUGGUAUCCUGUCUGAAUAUGGGGGGACCAUCCUCCAAGGCUAAAUACUCCUGACUGACCGAUAGUGAACCAGUACCGUGAGGGAAAGGCGAAAAGAACCCCGGCGAGGGGAGUGAAAAAGAACCUGAAACCGUGUACGUACAAGCAGUGGGAGCACCUUUAUGGUGUGACUGCGUACCUUUUGUAUAAUGGGUCAGCGACUUAUAUUCUGUAGCAAGGUUAACCGUAUAGGGGAGCCGCAGGGAAACCGAGUCUUAACUGGGCGUUAAGUUGCAGGGUAUAGACCCGAAACCCGGUGAUCUAGCCAUGGGCAGGUUGAAGGUUGGGUAACACUAACUGGAGGACCGAACCGACUAAUGUUGAAAAAUUAGCGGAUGACUUGUGGCUGGGGGUGAAAGGCCAAUCAAACCGGGAGAUAGCUGGUUCUCCCCGAAAGCUAUUUAGGUAGCGCCUCGUGAAUUCAUCUUCGGGGGUAGAGCACUGUUUCGGCUAGGGGGUCAUCCCGACUUACCAACCCGAUGCAAACUACGAAUACCGAAGAAUGUUAUCACGGGAGACACACGGCGGGUGCUAACGUCCGUCGUGAAGAGGGAAACAACCCAGACCGCCAGCUAAGGUCCCAAAGUCACAGUUAAGUGGGAAACGAUGUGGGAAGGCACAGACAGCCAGGAUGUUGGCUUAGAAGCAGCCAUCAUUUAAAGAAAGCGUAAUAGCUCACUGGUCGAGUCGGCCUGCGCGGAAGAUGUAACGGGGCUAAACUGUGCACCGAAGCUGCGGCAGCGACACUAUGUGUUGUUGGGUAGGGGAGCGUUCUGUAAGCCUGCGAAGGUGGCCUGUGAGGGUUGCUGGAGGUAUCAGAAGUGCGAAUGCUGACAUAAGUAACGAUAAUGCGGGUGAAAAGCCCGCACGCCGGAAGACCAAGGGUUCCUGUCCAACGUUAAUCGGGGCAGGGUGAGUCGACCCCUAAGGCGAGGCCGAAAGGCGUAGUCGAUGGGAAACAGGUUAAUAUUCCUGUACUUGGUGUUACUGCGAAGGGGGGACGGAGAAGGCUAUGUUAGCCGGGCGACGGUUGUCCCGGUUUAAGCAUGUAGGCGGAGGUUCCAGGUAAAUCCGGUACCUUUUAACGCUGAGGUGUGAUGACGAGGCACUACGGUGCUGAAGUAACAAAUGCCCUGCUUCCAGGAAAAGCCUCUAAGCAUCAGGUAACAUUGAAUCGUACCCCAAACCGACACAGGUGGUCAGGUAGAGAAUACCAAGGCGCUUGAGAGAACUCGGGUGAAGGAACUAGGCAAAAUGGUGCCGUAACUUCGGGAGAAGGCACGCUGAUAUGUAGGUGAAGUCCCUGCGGAUGGAGCUGAAAUCAGUCGAAGAUACCAGCUGGCUGCAACUGUUUAUUAAAAACACAGCACUGUGCAAACACGAAAGUGGACGUAUACGGUGUGACGCCUGCCCGGUGCCGGAAGGUUAAUUGAUGGGGUUAUCCGUAAGGAGAAGCUCUUGAUCGAAGCCCCGGUAAACGGCGGCCGUAACUAUAACGGUCCUAAGGUAGCGAAAUUCCUUGUCGGGUAAGUUCCGACCUGCACGAAUGGCGUAAUGAUGGCCAGGCUGUCUCCACCCGAGACUCAGUGAAAUUGAACUCGCUGUGAAGAUGCAGUGUACCCGCGGCAAGACGGAAAGACCCCGUGAACCUUUACUAUAGCUUGACACUGAACAUUGAGCCUUGAUGUGUAGGAUAGGUGGGAGGCUUUGAAGCGUGGACGCCAGUCUGCGUGGAGCCAACCUUGAAAUACCACCCUUUAAUGUUUGAUGUUCUAACGUUGGCCCCUAAUCGGGGUUGCGGACAGUGUCUGGUGGGUAGUUUGACUGGGGCGGUCUCCUCCCAAAGAGUAACGGAGGAGCACGAAGGUUAGCUAAUCCUGGUCGGACAUCAGGAGGUUAGUGCAAUGGCAUAAGCUAGCUUGACUGCGAGCGUGACGGCGCGAGCAGGUGCGAAAGCAGGUCAUAGUGAUCCGGUGGUUCUGAAUGGAAGGGCCAUCGCUCAACGGAUAAAAGGUACUCCGGGGAUAACAGGCUGAUACCGCCCAAGAGUUCAUAUCGACGGCGGUGUUUGGCACCUCGAUGUCGGCUCAUCACAUCCUGGGGCUGAAGUAGGUCCCAAGGGUAUGGCUGUUCGCCAUUUAAAGUGGUACGCGAGCUGGGUUUAGAACGUCGUGAGACAGUUCGGUCCCUAUCUGCCGUGGGCGCUGGAGAAUUGAGGGGGGCUGCUCCUAGUACGAGAGGACCGGAGUGGACGCAUCACUGGUGUUCGGGUUGUCAUGCCAAUGGCAUUGCCCGGUAGCUAAAUGCGGAAGAGAUAAGUGCUGAAAGCAUCUAAGCACGAAACUUGCCCCGAGAUGAGUUCUCCCUGAGACUUUAAGUCUCCUGAAGGAACGUUAAAGACGAUGACGUUGAUAGGUCGGGUGUGUAAGCGUAGCGAUACGUUGAGCUAACCGAUACUAAUGAACCGUGAGGCUUAACCUU